GACCGAAGACACUCGGUCGUCCCCGGAGGUGGAGGCUUCUUCACUUUCGGGGCCGAACGUCGAUCGGCUCCGGGAGCAGUACCGCGUCUCGGAGCAGUUUCGGCUGUUCGCCCCUGGCGCUGAUGGUCGGGUCAAUAGCCCGCCCGAGGGUCAGGUGGCGUUCUAUCUGGAGGAUCUUCGGGCCGGCCUUCGAUUCCCGGUUCCGGAGUUCGUCCGGAACAUUCUGGACUAUUACGGGCUAUGCCCGGCACAACUUGCGUCGAACUCGGUUCGGCUGAUAGUCAGCUUUGCCCUCUUGUGUCGGCUUUUGCCGACCGAACCUCGGAUCUCUCUUUUCCGAGUUUUCUUUGUUCUCCGUCCCCAUCCUAAAGCCCGAGGGUGGUGGUACUUCAUCCCUCGGAAAGGGCUCUCCUUCAUUACUGGUCUUCC
rnacentral:lncRNA from 1 species